CGGCGCUACCGCCGGGGAGCGAGACGGAGCCCUGGGAGGGCCGCAGGGCGGAGCAAUAGUAGAGCUAAGUAGGGUUCGGUCGGGCGUGGAUGCUAGGUGGCGGCCGGCUGGGUGCUGGUAGACUAGAGCGUCCGGGGACUGGACACGACUCACAUCGUAGCCUCCAGUCUCCUUAUUGGGCCCAGACUAACACAGUACCUUAAAGACUAUGAUCAAUUUUAAAUAGACCCAAAAAACAUGAAUUGGAAGACACAUACACAUGGAGACAGUGUUGCAUGAGUAAGG
rnacentral:lncRNA from 1 species